UCUCGCUCCCGCAUUCUGCCUUAGCCUGUGUUGCUUUCUUUUUUGAUUUAUAUAAGCUACUACUUAAAGACAAGGAGAAAUAUUGUCUUCGUAUAAAAGGUUCAGCAGGCAACACUGCCGUUAGUUUCAUCGAUUGUUUCGAGGAAAUUGAUUUUCUUAUUGCGCAAAUUCAAAGUAUCGGAGUUAUUCAAAAACCUGCGUUUUACAGCAAGUGCAGCCGUUA